rnacentral:rRNA from 1 species
UAGAGUUUGAUCCUGGCUCAGGAUGAACGCUGGCGGCGUGCUUAACACAUGCAAGUCGAACGGUGAACACGGAGCUUGCUCUGUGGGAUCAGUGGCGAACGGGUGAGUAACACGUGAGCAACCUGCCCCUGACUCUGGGAUAAGCGCUGGAAACGGCGUCUAAUACUGGAUAUGUGACGUGACCGCAUGGUCUGCGUUUGGAAAGAUUUUUCGGUUGGGGAUGGGCUCGCGGCCUAUCAGCUUGUUGGUGAGGUAAUGGCUCACCAAGGCGUCGACGGGUAGCCGGCCUGAGAGGGUGACCGGCCACACUGGGACUGAGACACGGCCCAGACUCCUACGGGAGGCAGCAGUGGGGAAUAUUGCACAAUGGGCGAAAGCCUGAUGCAGCAACGCCGCGUGAGGGAUGACGGCCUUCGGGUUGUAAACCUCUUUUAGCAGGGAAGAAGCGAAAGUGACGGUACCUGCAGAAAAAGCGCCGGCUAACUACGUGCCAGCAGCCGCGGUAAUACGUAGGGCGCAAGCGUUAUCCGGAAUUAUUGGGCGUAAAGAGCUCGUAGGCGGUUUGUCGCGUCUGCUGUGAAAUCCCGAGGCUCAACCUCGGGCCUGCAGUGGGUACGGGCAGACUAGAGUGCGGUAGGGGAGAUUGGAAUUCCUGGUGUAGCGGUGGAAUGCGCAGAUAUCAGGAGGAACACCGAUGGCGAAGGCAGAAUCUGGGCCGUAACGACGCGAGGAGGAAAGGUGUAGUACAAU